rnacentral:lncRNA from 1 species
AGGUGCGAUCAUACCAGCACUAAUGCACCGGAUCCCAUCAGAACUCCGCAGUUAAGCGUGCUUGGGCGAGAGUAGUACUAGGAUGGGUGACCUCCUGGGAAGUCCUUGUGUUGCACCUCUUUUUGCCAAAAUUUCUUGUUCUUUUUGUUAAUUAGCGUAAUUUUACGUCGUUUUUGAAAAAUAAACUUCGAUUGUAUUUCAUUUUUACCGUUAAUUUACGCAACCUAAAACUCUAUUCGUUAAUUAGCGUAGUUUGACGUAUUUUUUGAAAAAUAAACUUAGAAAUGCAUAUAUACAAUUACAACGCUUUACUCUCAGGUGCGAUCAUACCAGCACUAAUGCACCGGAUCCCAUUAGUACUCCGCAGUUAAGCGUGCUUGGGCGAGAGUAGUACUAGGAUGGGUGACCUCCUGGGAAGUCCUUGUGUUGCACCUCUUUUUGCCAAAAUUUUACGUCGCUUUUGAAAAAUAAACUUCGAUUGUAUUUCAUUUUUUCCGUUAAUUUACGCAACCUAAAACUCUAUUCGUUAAUUAGCGUAGUUUGACGUCUUUUUUGAAAAAUAAACUUAGAAAUGCAUAUAUACAAUUACAACGCUUUACUCUCAGGUGCGAUCAUACCAGCACUAAUGCACCGGAUCCCAUCAGAACUCCGAAGUUAUGCGUGCUUGGUCGAGAGUAGUACUAGGAUGGGUGACCUACUAGGAAGUCCUUGCAUUGCACCUCUUUUUGCCAAAAUUUCUUGUUCUUUUUGUUAAUUAGCGUAAUUUUACGUCGUUUUUGAAAAAUAAACUUCGAUUGUAUUUCAUUUUUUUCCGUUAAUUUACGCAACCUAAAACUCUAUUCGUUAAUUAGCGUAGUUUGACGUAUUUUUUGAAAAAUAAACUUAGAAAUGCAUAUAUACAAUUACAACGCUUUACUCUCAGGUGCGAUCAUACCAGCACUAAUGCACCGGAUCCCAUCAGAACUCCGCAGUUAAGCGUGCUUGGGCGAGAGUAGUACUAGGAUGGGUGACCUCCUGGGAAGUCCUUGUGUUGCACCUCUUUUUGCCAAAAUUUUACGUCGCUUUUGAAAAAUAAACUUCGAUUGUAUUUCAUUUUUUCCGUUAAUUUACGCAACCUAAAACUCUAUUCGUUAAUUAGCGUAGUUUGACGUCUUUUUUGAAAAAUAAACUUAUAAAUGCAUAUAUACAAUUACAACGCUUUACUCUCAGGUGCGAUCAUACCAGCACUAAUGCACCGGAUCCCAUCAGAACUCCGAAGUUAUGCGUGCUUGGUCGAGAGUAGUACUAGGAUGGGUGACCUCCUGGGAAGUCCUUGUGUUGCACCUCUUUUUGCCAAAAGUUUACGUCGUAUUUGAAAAAUAAACUUCGAUUGUAUUUAAUUUUUUUCGUUAAUUUACGCAACCUAAAACUCUAUUCGUUAAUUAGCGUAGUUUGACGUCUUUUUUGAAAAAUAAACUUAGAAAUGCAUAUAUACAAUUACAACGCUUUACUCUCAGGUGCGAUCAUACCAGCACUAAUGCUUCGGAUCCCAUCAGAACUCCGCAGUUAAGCGUGCUUGGUCGAGAGUAGUACUAGGAUGGGUGACCUCCUGGGAAGUCCUUGUGUUGCACCUCUUUUUGCCAAAAUUUUACGUCGCUUUUGAAAAAUAAACUUCGAUUGUAUUUCAUUUUUUCCGUUAAUUUACGCAACCUAAAACUCUAUUCGUUAAUUAGCGUAGUUUGACGUCUUUUUUGAAAAAUAAACUUAGAAAUGCAUAUAUAAAUUACAACGCUUUACUCUCAGGUGCGAUCAUACCAGCACUAAUGCACCGGAUCCCAUCAGAACUCCGCAGUUAAGCGUGCUUGGGCGAGAGUAGUACUAGGAUGGGUGACCUACUAGGAAGUCCUUGCGUUGCACCUCUUUUUGCCAAAAUUUCUUGUUCUUUUUGUUAAUUAGCGUAAUUUUACGUCGUUUUUGAAAAAUAAACUUCGAUUGUAUUUCAUUGUUUUCCGUUAAUUUACGCAACCUAAAACUCUAUUCGUUAAUUAGCGUAGUUUGACGUCUUUUUUGAAAAAUAAACUUAGAAAUGCAUAUAUACAAUUACAACGCUUUACUCUCAGGUGCGAUCAUACCAGCACUAAUGCACCGGAUCCCAUCAGAACUCCGAAGUUAUGCGUGCUUGGUCGAGAGUAGUACUAGGAUGGGUGACCUCCUGGGAAGUCCUUGUGUUGCACCUCUUUUUGCCAAAAGUUUACGUCGUAUUUGAAAAACAAACUUCGAUUGUAUUUCAUUUUUUCCGUUAAUUUACGCAACCUAAAACUCUACUCGUUAAUUAUCGUAGUUUGACGUCUUUUUUGAAAAAUAAACUUAGAAAUGCAUAUAUACAAUUACAACGCUUUACUCUCAGGUGCGAUCAUACCAGCACUAAUGCUUCGGAUCCCAUCAGAACUCCGCAGUUAAGCGUGCUUGGUCGAGAGUAGUACUAGGAUGGGUGACCUCCUGGGAAGUCCUUGUGUUGCACCUCUUUUUGCCAAAAUUUUACGUCGCUUUUGAAAAAUAAACUUCGAUUGUAUUUCAUUUUUUCCGUUAAUUUACGCAACCUAAAACUCUAUUCGUUAAUUAGCGUAGUUUGACGUCUUUUUUGAAAAAUAAACUUAGAAAUGCAUAUAUACAAUUACAACGCUUUACUCUCAGGUGCGAUCAUACCAGCACUAAUGCAUUGGAUCCCAUAAAAACUCCGCAGUUAAGCGUGCUUGGGCGAGAGUAGUACUAGGAUGGGUGACCUACUAGGAAGUCCUUGUGUUGCACCUCUUUUUGCCAAAAUUUCUUGUUCUUUUUGUUAAUUAGCGUAAUUUUACGUCGUUUUUGAAAAAUAAACUUCAAUUGUAUUUCAUUUUUUCCGUUAAUUUACGCAACCUAAAACUCUAUUCGUUAAUUAGCGUAGUUUGACGUCUUUUUUGAAAAAUAAACUUAGAAAUGCAUAUAUACAAUUACAACGCUUUACUCUCAGGUGCGAUCAUACCAGCACUAAUGCACAGGAUCCCAUCAGAACUCUGCAGUUAAGCGUGCUUGGGCGAGAGUAGUACUAGGAUGGGUGACCUCCUGGGAAGUCCUUGUGUUGCACCUCUUUUUGCCAAAAUUUUACGUCGUUUUUGAAAAAUAAACUUCGAUUGUAUUUCAUUUUUUCCGUUAAUUUACGCAACCUAAAACUCUAUUCGUUAAUUAGCGUAGUUUGACGUCUUUUUUGAAAAAUAAACUUAGAAAUGCAUAUAUACAAUUACAACGCUUUACUCUCAGGUGCGAUCAUACCAGCACUAAUGCACCGGAUCCCAUCAGAACUCCGCAGUUAAGCGUGCUUGGGCGAGAGUAGUACUAGGAUGGUUGACCUACUAGGAAGUCCUUGCGUUGCACCUCUUUUUGCCAAAUUUUUUGUUCUUUUUGUUAAUUAGCGUAAUUUUACGUCGUUUUUGAAAAAUAAACUUCGAUUGUAUUUAAUUUUUUUCCACGCAACCUAAAACUCUAUUAGUUAAUUAGCGUAGUUUGAUGUAUUUUUUGAAAAAUAAACUUAGAAAUGCAUAUAUACAAUUACAACGCUUUACUCUCAGGUGCGAUCAUACCAGCAUUAAUGCUUCGGAUCCCAUCAGAACUCCGCAGUUAAGCGUGCUUGGUCGAGAGUAGUACUAGGACGGGUGACCUCCUAGGAAGUCCUUGUGUUGCACCUCUUUUUGCCAAAAUUUUACGUCGCUUUUGAAAAAUAAACUUCGAUUGUUUUCAUUUUUUCCGUUAAUUUACGCAACCUAAAACUCUAUUCGUUAAUUAGCGUAGUUUGACGUCUUUUUUGAAAAAUAAACUUAGAAAUGCAUAUAUACAAUUAAACGCUUUACUCUCAGGUGCGAUCAUACCAGCACUAAUGCACCGGAUCCCAUCAGAACUCCGCAGUUAAGCGUGCUUGGGCGAGAGUAGUACUAGGAUGGGUGACCUACUAGGAAGUCCUUGCGUUGCACCUCUUUUUGCCAAAAUUUCUUGUUCUUUUGUUAAUUAGCGUAAUUUUACGUCGUUUUUGAAAAAUAAACUUCGAUUGUAUUUCAUUUUUUUCCGUUAAUUUACGCAACCUAAAACUCUAUUAGUUAAUUAGCGUAGUUUGACGUCUUUUUUGAAAAAUAAACUUAGAAAUGCAUAUAUACAAUUACAACGCUUUACUCUCAGGUGCGAUCAUACCAGCAUUAAUGCUUCGUAUCCCAUCAGAACUCCGCAGUUAAGUGUGCUUGGCGAGAGUAGUACUAGGAUGGGUGACCUACUAGGAAGUCUUUGCGUUGCACCUCUUUUUGCCAAAAUUUUUGUUCUUUUUGUUAAUUAGCGUAAUUUUACGUCGUUUUUGAAAAAUAAACUUCGAUUGUAUUUAAUUUUUUUCCACGCAACCUAAAACUCUAUUAGUUAAUUAGCGUAGUUUGAUGUAUUUUUUGAAAAAUAAACUUAGAAAUGCAUAUAUACAAUUACAACGCUUUACUCUCAGGUGCGAUCAUACCAGCAUUAAUGCUUCGGAUUCCAUCAGAACUCCGCAGUUAAGCGUGCUUGGUCGAGAGUAGUACUAGGACGGGUGACCUCCUAGGAAGUCCUUGUGUUGCACCUCUUUUUGCCAAAAUUUUACGUCGCUUUUGAAAAAUAAACUUCGAUUGUAUUUCAUUUUUUCCGUUAAUUUACGCAACCUAAAACUCUAUUCGUUAAUUAGCGUAGUUUGACGUCUUUUUUGAAAAAUAAACUUAGAAAUGCAUAUAUACAAUUACAACGCUUUACUCUCAGGUGCGAUCAUACCAGCACUAAUGCACCGGAUCCCAUCAAAACUCCGCAGUUAAGCGUGCUUGGGCGAGAGUAGUACUAGGAUGGGUGACCUACUAGGAAGUCCUUGCGUUGCACCUCUUUUUGCCAAAAUUUCUUGUUCUUUUUGUUAAUUAGCGUAAUUUUACGUCGUUUUUGAAAAAUAAACUUCGAUUGUAUUUCAUUUUUUUCCGUUAAUUUACGCAACCUAAACCUCUAUUAGUUAAUUAGCGUAGUUUGACGUCUUUUUUGAAAAAUAAACUUAGAAAUGCAUAUAUACAAUUACAACGCUUUACUCUCAGGUGCGAUCAUACCAGCACUAAUGCACCGGAUCCCAUCAGAACUCUGCAGUUAAGCGUGCUUGGGCGAGAGUAGUACUAGGAUGGGUGACCUCCUGGGAAGUCCUUGUGUUGCACCUCUUUUUGCCAAAAUUUUACGUCGUUUUUGAAAAAUAAACUUCAAUUGUAUUUCAUUUUUUCCGUUAAUUUACGCAACCUAAAACUCUAUUCGUUAAUUAGCGUAGUUUGACGUCUUUUUUGAAAAAUAAACUUAGAAAUGCAUAUAUACAAUUACAACGCUUUACUCUCAGGUGCGAUCAUACCAGCACUAAUGUACCGGAUCCCAUCAGAACUCCGCGGUUAAGCGUGCUUGGGCGAGAGUAGUACUAGGAUGGGUGACCUACUAGGAAGUCCUUGCGUUGCACCUA